UACGUAGGGUGCGAGCGUUGUCCGGAAUUAUUGGGCGCAAAGAGCUCGUAGGCGGCUUGUCGCGUCGGAUGUGAAAGCCCGGGGCUUAACUCCGGGUCUGCAUUCGAUACGGGCAGGCUAGAGUGUGGUAGGGGAGAUCGGAAUUCCUGGUGUAGCGGUGAAAUGCGCAGAUAUCAGGAGGAACACCGGUGGCGAAGGCGGAUCUCUGGGCCAUUACUGACGCUGAGGAGCGAAAGCGUGGGGAGCGAACAGG
rnacentral:rRNA from 1 species